CCUGGAACUCACUUUGCAGACUAGGCUGGCCUCGAACUCACAGAGAUACACCUGUCUCUGCCUCCUGGGUGCUGGAAU
rnacentral:miRNA from 1 species